rnacentral:rRNA from 1 species
UACGUAGGGGGCAAGCGUUGUCCGGAUUUAUUGGGCGUAAAGAGCGUGUAGGCGGCCAUACAGGUCAGCUGUGAAAACUCGAGGCUCAACCUCGAGACGUCGGUUGAAACCGUGUGGCUAGAGUCCGGAAGAGGAGAGUGGAAUUCCCGGUGUAGCGGUGAAAUGCGUAGAUAUCUGGAGGAACACCGGUGGCGAAGGCGGCAUCCUGGACCGGCAUUGACGCUGAGGAGCGAAAGCCAGGGGAGCAAACGGG